rnacentral:rRNA from 1 species
GAUGAACGCUGGCGGCGUGCCUAAUACAUGCAAGUCGAGCGAACGGACGAGAAGCUUGCUUCUCUGAUGUUAGCGGCGGACGGGUGAGUAACACGUGGAUAACCUACCUAUAAGACUGGGAUAACUUCGGGAAACCGGAGCUAAUACCGGAUGAUAUUUUGAACCGCAUGGUUCAAAAGUGAAAGACGGUCUUGCUGUCACUUAUAGAUGGAUCCGCGCUGCAUUAGCUAGUUGGUAAGGUAACGGCUUACCAAGGCAACGAUGCAUAGCCGACCUGAGAGGUGGAUCGGCCACACUGGAACUGAGACACGGUCCAGACUCCUACGGGAGGCAGCAGUAGGGAAUCUUCCGCAAUGGGCGAAAGCCUGACGGAGCAACGCCGCGUGAGUGAUGAAGGUCUUCGGAUCGUAAAACUCUGUUAUUAGGGAAGACCAUAUGUGUAAGUAACUGUGCACAUCUUGACGGUACCUAAUCAGAAAGCCACGGCUAACUACGUG